UCACAGCUUCAAUGGAGUUUCAUCUUCUUCCCAUUCUAACUUGCUUCUCUCUGCUGGUGGUUGUAAGCAAUGCUUCUCUACCUCCUGAGGUUUACUGGAAGUUGGCUUUGCCGUAUACUUCGAUGCCGAAAGCCGUGCGAGGUCUCUUGCAGCCAAGUGGAAGUUUAAUCAAUGUCAGCAAGGUUGUACUAAAUGCCAUCCCAGGACCUAUCUAUAUCGGGUACGGAAAA